rnacentral:rRNA from 1 species
CGUCAAGUCUCCUCAUGGCCUUAUGGUAGGGCUUCACACGUCAUACAAUGGUCGGAACAGAGGGUUGCCAACCCGCGAGGGGGAGCUAAUCCCAGAAAACCGAUCGUAGUCCGGAUUGCACUCUGCAACUCGAGUGCAUGAAGCUGGAAUCGCUAGUAAUCGCGGAUCAGCAUGCCGCGGUGAAUACGUUCCCGGGUCUUGUACACACCGCCCGUCACACCAUGGGAGUGGGUUUUACCAGAAGUGGCUAGUCUAACCGCAAGGAGGACGGUCACCACGGUAGGAUUCAUGACUGGGUGAAGUCGUAACAAGGUAGCCGUAUCGGAAGGUGCGGCUGGAUCACCUCCUUUC